rnacentral:rRNA from 1 species
UACGUAGGGUGCGAGCGUUGUCCGGAAUUACUGGGCGUAAAGAGCUCGUAGGUGGUUUGUCGCGUUGUUCAUGAAAACUCACAACUCAAUUGUGGGCGUGCGGGCGAUACGGGGCAGACUGGAGUACUGCAGGGGAGACUGGAAUUCCUGGUGUAGCGGUGGAAUGCGCAGAUAUCAGGAGGAACACCGGUGGCGAAGGCGGGUCUCUGGGCAGUGAACUGACGCUGAGACGC